GUGGGGAAUCUUGCGCAAUGGGCGAAAGCCUGACGCAGCCAUGCCGCGUGGAUGAUGAAGGUCUUAGGAUUGUAAAAUCCUUUCACCGGUGAAGAUAAUGACUGUAGCCGGAGAAGAAGCCCCGGCUAACUUCGUGCCAGCAGCCGCGGUAAUACGAAGGGGGCUAGCGUUGCUCGGAAUUACUGGGCGUAAAGGGAGCGUAGGCGGACAUUUAAGUCAGGGGUGAAAUCCCGAGGCUCAACCUCGGAACUGCCUUUGAUACUGGGUGUCUUGAGUGUGAGAGAGGUGUGUGGAACUCCGAGUGUAGAGGUGAAAUUCGUAGAUAUUCGGAAGAACACCAGUGGCGAAGGCGACACACUGGCUCAUUACUGACGCUGAGGCGCGAAAGCGUGGGGAGCAAACAGGAUUAGAAACCCGGGUAGUCC
rnacentral:rRNA from 1 species